AACGCCGACGACGCCGGCGGCUUCUCCAUCGCACAGCCAGCCAGCCUGCAGCAACUAGCCAAGGACGAGUCCUUCCUGUCCCGCUGAGGCCGCACCUGACGGCCACCGACGGCGCCUCAGAACCUGCCGCCGCGAACGCCGCCGACGCCGAGGCUCCUAGCACCGUCAGCUCCUUCUGCCAUCGACUUCUCCUGAAUUGCACUCUGUGUGUGCAUUGCGGCUGCUGACUUUUGGGUGUUGUGGCUGGAUUUGGAAUAAUUCUGUGGGGGAAACGGAUCAUGUGGUUGACAAGUGAAAAGGCAUCGUGCAUGUUUAAAUUAAGAUCAAUCGCUGGAGAGUAUUAAUGAGGAAGUGGAUUUUGGUGUAACCAAUUGUUUUGGGUGACAAGAGUGUUUUCACCCAAUCCCCUUUGAAAAAUACUCUCAAAGGGGAUUGAAUCGAAGUAUUCGCCAUGGUAUCCAAGAUGUCAGCAGUGGUUGUAUCUGUGGUCGUGCUAGCAGUCCUCUUCAGUUAUGGUACCGAGGCAGACAUCUCCAAGUGUAAGUUUUACCAAGUCAACCUCAGGCCCUGUAAUAAUCAGACACAAUGUUUGGAUCUGUGCGUACACCAGAAGUACCAAAGUGGGUCGUGUGGUUUUAUUGGUACUCAACUUGAUACUGUUUGCUACUGUUACAACUGUGCGGAUGAGACAACGACACUUCCGCUGCGAGGGGAGACAAGUGGUGCUUACAUGCUAAAGUCUCCCAUGGAAAGAUUAAUGCUCUUGGUGAGGUCGUCUUUAUUUGUACCGAAACAGCUUGGUGAUUGAUAAGAACUCUGUAUCAUUGUAAGAAUAUUGAUGCAAAUUUCAACCUAGAGAACUGCCAACUUAGCCAGGUUCUUCUAUUCCCCUCCUAUAAACUCCGCCGUCUCUCCUCUAUAUCUACUCUUUUGCUGUUUGGUUCCCGGAAAAAAACAAGGGAAGAAUUGAAAAAUUAAGAGAUGCUAUAGAGGGAACUAUGAUUGUCCUUGAUUCAACUACA